UAAAGCUCUGUUGUUAAAGAAGAACACGUAUGAGAGUAACUGUUCAUACGUUGACGGUAUUUAACCAGAAAGUCACGGCUAACUACGUGCCAGCAGCCGCGGUAAUACGUAGGUGGCAAGCGUUAUCCGGAUUUAUUGGGCGUAAAGAGAGUGCAGGCGGUUUUCUAAGUCUGAUGUGAAAGCCUUCGGCUUAACCGGAGAAGUGCAUCGGAAACUGGAUAACUUGAGUGCAGAAGAGGGUAGUGGAACUCCAUGUGUAGCGGUGGAAUGCGUAGAUAUAUGGAAGAACACCAGUGGCGAAGGCGGCUACCUGGUCUGCAACUGACGCUGAGACUCGAAAGCAUGGGUAGCGAACAGGAUUAGAUACCCUGGUAGUCCAUGCCGUAAACGAUGAGUGCUAGGUGUUGGAGGGUUUCCGCCCUUCAGUGCCGGAGCUAACGCAUUAAGCACUCCGCCUGGGGAGUACGACCGCAAGGUUGAAACUCAAAGGAAUUGACGGGGGCCCGCACAAGCGGUGGAGCAUGUGGUUUAAUUCGAAGCUACGCGAAGAACCUUACCAGGUCUUGACAUCUGCGCCAACCCUAGAGAUAGGGCGUUUCCUUCGGGAACGCAAUGACAGGUGGUGCAUGGUCGU
rnacentral:rRNA from 2 species